GUGGAUUAGAUACCCUAGUAGUCCACGCCGUAAACGAUGAUCACUCGCUGUUGGCGAUACACUGUCAGCGGCUAAGCAAAAGCAUUAAGUGAUCCACCUGGGGAGUACGACCGCAAGGUUGAAACUCAAAGGAAUUGACGGGGGCCCGCACAAGCGGAGGAACAUGUGGUUUAAUUCGAUGAUACGCGAGGAACCUUACCUGGGCUUAAAUGUAGAGUGCAUUGGUGUGAAAGCAUCAUUUUCUUCGGAACUCUCUGCAAGGUGCUGCACGGUCGUCGCCAACU
rnacentral:rRNA from 1 species